rnacentral:rRNA from 1 species
AUUGAACGCUGGCGGCAGGCCUAACACAUGCAAGUCGAGCGAGCGGCGGACGGGUGAGUAAUGGCUGGGAAACCGCCUGAUGGAGGGGGAUAACUCCUGGAAACGGUAGCUAAUACCGCAUACCAUCAGAUGUGCCCAGAUGGGAUUAGCUAGUAGGUGGGGUAACGGCUCACUUAGGCGACGAUCCCUAGCUGGUCUGAGAGGCUGACCAGCAACACUGUAACUGAGACACGGUCUAGUCUCCUACGCGGGGCAGCAGUGGGGAAUAUUGCACAAUGGGCGCAAGCCUGAUGCAGCCAUGCCGCGUGAGUGAAGAGGGCCUUCGGGUUGUAAGGCACUUUCAGCGGGGAUGCGUUACCCGCAGGAGAGGCACCGGCUAACUCCGUGCCAGCCGCCGCGGUAAUUC